UAGGGAAUCUUCCGCAAUGGACGCAAGUCUGACGGAGCAACGCCGCGUGAGUGAAGAAGGAUUUCGGUUCGUAAAACUCUGUUGUUAGAGAAGAACAGCGCAUAGAGUAACUGUUAUGCGUGUGACGGUAUCUAACCAGAAAGCCACGGCUAACUACGUGCCAGCAGCCGCGGUAAUACGUAGGUGGCAAGCGUUGUCCGGAUUUAUUGGGCGUAAAGCGAGCGCAGGCGGUUAGAUAAGUCUGAAGUUAAAGGCAGUGGCUCAACCAUUGUAGGCUUUGGAAACUGUUUAACUUGAGUGCAGAAGGGGGGAGUGGAAUUCCAUGUGUAGCGGUGAAAGGCGUAGAUAUAUGGAGGAACACCGGUGGCGAAAGCGGCUCUCUGGGCUGUAACUGACGCUGAGGCUCGAAAGCGUGGGGAGCGAACAGG
rnacentral:rRNA from 1 species